UCGGGUUGUAAAGCACUUUUGUCCGGAAAGAAAACUUCUGCCCUAAUACGGUGGGAGGAUGACGGUACCGGAAGAAUAAGCACCGGCUAACUACGUGCCAGCAGCGCGGUAAUCGUAGGGUGCGAGCGUUAAUCGGAAUUACUGGGCGUAAAGCGUGCGCAGGCGGUUCGUUAAGACAGAUGUGAAAUCCCCGGGCUUAACCUGGGAACUGCAUUUGUGACUGGCAAGCUAGAGUAUGGCAGAGGGGGGUAGAAUUCCACGUGUAGCAGUGAAAUGCGUAGAGAUGUGGAGGAAUACCGAUGGCGAAGGCAGCCCCCUGGGCCAAUACUGACGCUCAUGCACGAAAGCGUGGGGAGCAAACAGGAUUAGAUACCCUGGUAGUCCACGCCCUAAACGAUGUCAACUAGUUGUUGGGUCUUCAUUGACUUAGUAACGUAGCUAACGCGUGAAGUUGACCGCCUGGGGAGUACGGUCGCAAGAUUAAAACUCAAAGGAAUUGACGGGGACCCGCACAAGCGGUGGAUGAUGGUGGAUUAAUUCGAUGCAGCGCGAAAAACCUUACCUACCCUUGACAUGGUCGGAACCCUGCUG
rnacentral:rRNA from 1 species